rnacentral:rRNA from 1 species
AGUGAACGCUGGCGGCAGGCCUAACACAUGCAAGUCGAGCGGCAGCGGGUCCCCGCGAGGGGAUGCCGGCGAGCGGCGGACGGGUGAGGAACACAUCGGAAUCUGCCUGGUUGUGGGGGAUAACGUAGGGAAACUUACGCUAAUACCGCAUGCGACCCUGAGUCGACGGACUUGGGGUGAAAGUGAGGGACCUUCGGGCCUCACGCGACCAGAUGGGCCGAUGUCGGAUUAGCUAGUUGGCGGGGUAACGGCCCGCCAAGGCGACGAUCCGUAGCUGGUCUGAGAGGAUGAUCAGCCACACUGGGACUGAGACACGGCCCAGACUCCUACGGGAGGCAGCAGUGGGGAAUCUUGGACAAUGGGCGCAA